AAUUAAGUAAAAUCCACUAUUGACUUAGAAAACCAUUUUAAAUUAUGAUUUCAUUCUGGAAGUAACAAAAAGUGAGAGUAUGCAUACCCAGGACCUCGGCCAUAGCAUAAUUCAUUCUUCCCUCCACAGGUACUAUGAUUGAAGUCACAAGGCAACNUAUGCAUACCCAGGACCUCGGCCAUAGCAUAAUUCAUUCUUCCCUCCACAGGUACUAUGAUUGAAGUCACAAGGCAACCCUGUAUCUAUGCAGAAGGCCCCUAGUACAUUCGGGCUAACAUCCCCACAAUUGGCUUGGCAAAAUGCAGAAAUGAAUCUAGGCCUAUCAGCUCGUCUUAGAGAACUUCUUACACGUUUUG
rnacentral:lncRNA from 1 species